GCUUGUGCUCAAAAAGCUCCAUUGUCAAGUGCCUCCCAAGAACAGAGACAAAGCAGCAGAAUUCCCUAUGAAGAGCUGUGCAAUAUUGCAAGGGACUAAAGGAAAUAAGCAAAAAAAGUGUUCUAUCUCAUCAGAAGCACUUGCUUUAGCUUGUUGCCUGAAGCAUCCGUGAAUUACGUGGCGGUGAGGGAUGACGUGGGAUUGAAGAACACUGCAUUCCAGCUUUUGAAUCUUCUCAUAUCCUGUCUAUGCCUUAAAAAUGUUUUCUAAUAACAUUCAGUCACUCUCCAGAAAAUGCACAGAGCUUGCUUGGCAUCUGGUGGCAGUGGGGAACACACAGAGUGCCUGGUCUGAGAGUCCUGAAAGAGUCCUUAGCUCUGGAGUCCAGGGUUUGAAGUCUCCUGAGAGACACUGGAUGGUGCUGCUCUAGAAAAGAUUUGAAUUCCAGUUACUGUUGUCUGGGAUGCUGAGACUGAUUUCAUGGUCCUGAAGGCACUCAGAGUUGCUUUUUGUCAGUAGUACAUCAGCCCUUUCUUGGAUCAAUAAAACUGUGCCAAAAGGAUUGCUGAGUACAUGGGAUAAUCCAGAUGUGAGAGCACAUUCAUGAGACCUCCUCACACCUCUGCUUCUUUCCUGAUACCCUCCAUCUCCAGCUGAGGUCCUAAGUUCUAACAGCCAUGUUAGAAACACCACAGGAAAGAAACAAAUUGUCUGGCUCAAAGUUUAUGUUGUCAAGCCUUAGGUGUGAGCAGUGAGCCAGGUUUUUUAAAGUGGAAGAGGCUUGUUUCAAAGUCCUCAGCUAUAAAACAUGUUCUACUUCCAAAGCCUCUUACAUGUUUGCUUUU